GCUCCGAACGGUAACAGGAAGCAGCUUGCUGCUUCGCUGACGAGUGGCGGACGGGUGAGUAAUGUCUGGGAAACUGCCUGAUGGAGGGGGAUAACUACUGGAAACGGUGGCUAAUACCGCAUAACGUCGCAAGACCAAAGAGGGGGACCUUCGGGCCUCUUGCCAUCAGAUGUGCCCAGAUGGGAUUAGCUUGUUGGUGAGGUAACGGCUCACCAAGGCGACGAUCCCUAGCUGGUCUGAGAGGAUGACCAGCCACACUGGAACUGAGACACGGUCCAGACUCCUACGGGAGGCAGCAGUGGGGAAUAUUGCACAAUGGGCGCAAGCCUGAUGCAGCCAUGCCGCGUGUAUGAAGAAGGCCUUCGGGUUGUAAAGUACUUUCAGCGGGGAGGAAGGUGUUGUGGUUAAUAACCGCAGCAAUUGACGUUACCCGAGAAAAGCACCGGCUAACUGCCGUGCCAGCAGCCGCGGUAAUACGGAGGGGCAAGCGUUUAAUCGGAAUUACUGGGCGUAAAGCGCACGCAGGCGGCUGUCAAGUCGGAUGUUGAAAUCCCCGGGCUCACUGGGAACUGCCUCGAACG
rnacentral:rRNA from 1 species